AAGGAUCAUUAAAGAGCGAGGGUGCAAACCCAAGCGAUCAUAACAUUGUGAACCUUUGCGAGACGGCCGGGUGACCGGUCGUCGAGCGACACAUUACUUUGUCAAUGAAUGUAUAUAUCAUAACAAAAUAAAACUUUCAACAACGGAUCUCUAGGCUCUUGCAUCGAUGAAGAACGCAGCGAAAUGCGAUAAGUAAUGUGAAUUGCAGAAUUCAGUGAAUCAUCGAAUCUUUGAACGCACAUUGCACCUUUUGGUAUUCCGAAAGGUAUGCCUGUUUGAGUGUCUUGAAUUCUCACUUCAUAGAUUUUUUUCUAUGGACGUGGAUUUGGGUGUUGCCAUUGGGCUCGCCUCGAAUGCGUUAGUGGGUUAACCCAAGCUGGAUGUAAUAAGUUUCAUUUGGUGUAAGUGCGGCCUGCUUCCAACUUGCUUUGUGCAACUUUUCAUGACUAGACCUCAAAUCAGGUAGGACUACCCGCUGAACUUAA
rnacentral:rRNA from 1 species